GACGGCACGAUCAUGCGAGGUGCCCCGCGGCUGCGGGGAGAAUCUGGGAAGCCGGUGCGAAUCCGGCACGGGCCCGCCGCGGUGACCGGGGAGCCACCGUCCACGCGCGAGCAGCGCAGCCACUGGCCGUACGGCUGGGAAGGCGGACGGCCAGGCGUCGAUCCGGGAGUCCGAAGACCGGCCUCGCGUCGACCGCCCAC
rnacentral:ncRNA from 1 species